GCCCGGGGGGAGCAGCGGCGCCGGGGGAGCCCCGGCAGCGGCCGCCGCCAUGAAGAAACAGUUCAACCGCAUGAAGCAGCUCGCCAACCAGACCGUGGGCAGGGCUGAGAAAACAGAGGUACUCAGUGAAGACCUGUUGCAGAUCGAGAGGCGUCUGGACGCCGUGAGGUCCGUGUGCCACCUGGCCCAGAAGCGCCUGAUCGCGUGUCUGCAGGGCCAGCAUGGCACAGACCCCGACAAGAGACACAAAAAACUUCCUCUAACAGCUCUAGCUCAAAAUAUGCAAGAAGGAUCUGUCCAGCUGAGUGAUGAAACUCUGCUGGGGAAAAUGCUGGAUACCUGUGGGGAUGCAGAGAAUAAACUGGCAAUGGAGCUCUCUCAGCAUGAAGUACAGAUUGAGAGAGAAGUUCUAGAUCCACUGUGCCUGUUAACAGAGACAGAGAUCCCGAACAUUCAGAAGCAGAGGAAGCAGCUUGCAAAGCUGGUGCUGGACUGGGAUUCUGCAAGGGGAAGAUACAACCAAGCCCACAAGACUUCAGGAACAAAUUUCCAAGUGCAUCCUUCGAAAAUAGAAUCUCUUAAGGAAGAGAUGGAUGAAGCUGGAAAUAAAGUGGAGCAGUGCAAGGAUCAGCUUGCAGCAGACAUGUACAGCUUUGUGUCCAAAGAAGGGGAAUAUGCUCGAUGUUUUGUUAUGUUAUUAGAAGCACAAGCAGAUUACCAUAGAAAAGCAUUAGCAGUCAUAGAAAAGGUCCUCCCCGAAAUUCAAGCCCAUCAAGACAAAUGGACUGAAAAACCAGCUUUUGGAACUCCAUUAGAAGAGCAUCUCAAGCGCAGCGGGCGGGAAAUCGCAGUCCCUAUUGAAGCCUGUGUGAUGAUGCUUCUGGAAACGGGGAUGAGAGAGGAGGGCUUAUUCAGAAUUGCUGCUGGAGCCUCCAAGUUAAAAAAGCUGAAAGCUGCCCUGGACUGUUCAACUUCCCAGCUGGACGAGUUCUACUCCGACCCCCACGCUGUUGCAGGUGCCUUGAAAUCCUAUUUGCGGGAGCUGCCAGAACCUCUGAUGACCUACAGCUUGUAUGAGGAAUGGACACAGGCUGCAAGUAUUCAGGACCAGGAUAAGAAGCUCCAAGAGUUAUGGAGAAUUUGUAACAGGUUACCUGAGCAUUAUCGUGUUAACUUCAGGUAUUUAAUCAAAUUUUUAGCCAAGCUUGCACAGAACAGCGACGUUAACAAAAUGACUCCCAGCAACAUCGCCAUAGUCCUGGGCCCCAACUUGUUAUGGGCAAAGAAUGAAGGAUCCCUUGCUGAAAUGGCAGCAGCAACUUCAGUCCAUGUGGUAGCAGUUAUUGAGCCAAUUAUUCAGCAUGCAGAGUGGUUCUUCCCUGGAGAUGAAGAUUUCAAUGUGUCUGGGGCAUUUGUGGCAGUUCCUGCUGUUAAUUCCAAUCACUUGUCACACACUGGGAAUGACUAUGAAUGUGGGACACUGGAAAGGAAGAGGCCUGUCAGCAUGACUGUGAUGGAAGGGGAUUUGCUGAAGAAGGAAAGCUUUGGUGUGAAGGUUCUGGACUUCCCUGGGAACCCUCGGAGAUGUGGCACUGUAAACAGAAAGCACACAUCCCCGGCCUUCCAGCCCCCGCUGCCGCCCACCGAGCCGGCCGGGCCCGAGCAGCACCCGCCGGCUGCGGGGGCUGACUGCACCCCCGGGGGGGCUGGGCUUGCUCUCUCUGCUGCCUCAGCAGAAUCCCAAGCUCAAGGCCCUGAGGAUGGCAGUACCUCAAAAUCCAAGGACAGCACGUCUGCAGCCACUCCUCCCCCGGUGAGGAACGGGGGGCACGCGGGCACUGCCCCGGGCCAGGCAGGGAGCAGCAGCAGCCAGCUCUGUGUGACCCAGCCCCAGAACACGGCAGGGCCCAGUCCCCAUGCGCUGAGGAGAGCUGUGAAGAAGCCGGCACCAGCCCCCCCCAAACCAGCCAACCCCCCGCCAGGGCAGCCAGGAAGCCAAAGCUCUUCCCCAGCUGCUCAGCCACCUUCUGUCUCUCCAAAACCACCUGCCAGAAGCUCUUCUCCUCCUGCUCAACAUGCAAACCAAGGAGCAGCCCAGACCUCCGCCUCCCAGGUUUCUGCACCUCGGAGAUACUCCAGCAGCCUGUCCCCAAUCCAAGCUCCCAGCCACCCACCCCCUCAGCCCCCAACACAGGCAACUCCUCCCCUGCAGCCCAAAGCCAACAGCCAAGCAUCUCCCGGCGCUGGCAGCGAGCACGGACCAGAGCAGCCCUGUUACACCCUGCCACAGACCCCGACCCCGCCCGACACCCCCCCGCUGGGGAAGCACCCCAGCAGCUCCCCAUCGCCCCAGCCAGCGACUCCAGAGCCCUCCCAGGCUCCCUCCUUACCUCAGAGUGGCACCCUGCCCCGGCCACGGCCCGUGCCCAAACCCAGGAACAGACCCAGUGUGCCCCCUCCGCCUCACCCUCCCUCUCAGCUGCCUGGAGAUGGGAUUGUUGCAAAUCCCACACAAACAGCUUCCAAAAUAGUCACAGGUGGGGAUGGUUACUGCGAAUAAGGUUUGUACUCACAGAAAUGUGCAAUAUCAGCUAAACUGCUCCUGUUUGUAGCUUGAGUUUGGACAUGCGCUUUGGAACAUGUGCUCUGUGCAUCUCAUCCCUACAUAGCAUUCUGUCUGUGAGAGGGUGUGAGACCUCUGCUGCUUCAUUUUAAUAGUCCUGUGAACAUUGUUACUCCACGAGUACCUGUCAAGAAGUAACAGUUCACGCCAAGUCCCCAGAACCAGUUCCCAAGUCAGGUGCGACGAGUGACCCCGUUCCCAGCAGGUUUGUUCACCUCAGUGCAGGCAGACACUGCAGCCCAUGUUUUUCCUGCAGUUUGGUGGAUUAUGGUUACAUUUUAAUGUAGGUCCCACUUUAGGUUUGCACUUACUUUUAACCACUUGGAAUUUAUUUGGCAAAAUCCACGUUGCUGUGACUAAACCCGUGGCAGAACAGCCCCGGCAGCACCUGCACUGUGACACGUUGGCAUUUGCACGUGGCAGCCCCAGCCUCACUAAUAGCACCCGUGCUCAGCCCCAGCCCCAAGCACACCUUCCUCAGGUGGAAGGCCUUGGGGAUGCUGCUGCUGCCCUGCUCAGGAAACAACUGCAUGGCAGGCUGGGAAAGGCGAGGCUGUGUUUGGAAUCAUCUCGAGGUUUGGCUGUUUACAGCAAAGACACUGGAGUCAGUGCUGGAUUGAGAAGUCACACUGGAAAUAGUUUGGGUUUGUUUUUUUUUUUUAAUUGGAGAAACAGGUUGCCCAGAGAAGCUGUGGCUGCCCCAGCCCUGGAAAUGUCCCAGGCCAGGUUGGACAGGACUAGGAGCACCCUGGGCUAGUGGAAGGUGUCCCUGCCCAUGGCAGGGAGUGGGACUGGAUGGGCUUUAAGGUACUUCCAACCCAAACUAGUCUAUGAUGAAAUUAGCAGUAAACAAGCUGCUUAUGCAACUGAAAAGUAGCUUUGCUUCUUAAAUAACUGACUUUUCCUGAUUGUACUUCCGUUGUUUUUGUCAGUAUAUUUAAGUACAUUACGAAUCCCAAGCUCAGCUCAGAAGUAAGGCUGGGCUCUGGAUCUUCACAGCACUUCUACACGCAGUAAAGAACAGCAGCUGUGCCAAAGAGUCAAAUUUUAAGGAAAGACAACCUUUUUGUCUAAGUGUUUCAUAGUUUGAUUGUGUGUGUUUUCAUUUUGGGGUUUUCCUGGUUCUGAGAAAAUUGCUUUAAUGAUGACAAACAGGGAGGGUUUGUUUUACCCCAGGGUAACUGGAGGAAUCCUUAAUUUCUUAAUCCCAGCCAGCUGGUGUGCAGGGGCUGCUUCAUUAGUGGGGGAGUUGGAACUGGGCAAGGCAAGCACCUGCCAGGGGGAGUGAUGGGCACAGUUUAAUAUCACUCCUUUCAAGUGCAAACCAUAGCAAAUUGGCCAAGUUGUGUACUGUAAACACAAAAAGAAGUUUCCAGGAAAGGAAAGCUGCUGAGGAAGGAUCCUCUCCAAAACUGGCAAAGGGACCUAGAAAAUACAGUCAGUUUUGCUAAAAACCCCUUCGGGAAGAGUUGAAGUGAUACUCAGGCUCAUCUCCAGCAGGACACUGUGCAGGAGCAUCCACCUUUUCCAGACCAAUCUGUUUGUAAAGGAUUAAUAUUCUGAAUUAACACCACUGCCUGUCACGUAAGAGUAUGUGCUCUAAUAUUUACACCUGCAUAUAUAAGCACCUAUAGACUCACCUAAUUCACAGUGUGCAGUCACUGGUUUUAAUUUUAACCUGAAAGAGCGAGGAAACAACAGAAGCCAAAAUUUAAGUUGCCAGCAGACCUCGUAAUAAUACCAGAACAGGAAUUCUGAAUUGUUCUCAGUGUACUGUUGAUUCCUUUGUCCACGUCCUGGGCAUUAGCAAUGCCUCAAAUUCUAUUUAUGGUGUUAAAGGAAUAAGCCUUAGAAUAUUCUAAUCAAGAAUUUUAUUAAAUAAUCCAGAUGUUUGACCAGCAUUCAGUAGGAACUGUAUUGGCAAGUUCAAUGACUCUAAUUCCAGUAUUCCAGAACCACUUCCAAACCCUCCUUCAGAGCUUCCUCCGGAGCCGGCGAGCAGAGAGCUGCACAACCACCUCCUGCUGGACCUCGACACCGAC